UCCCUGGUAGUCCAGUGGCUAAGACUCUAUGCUUCCAAUACAAGGGGCCCCGGUUCAAUCCCUGGUCAGGGAA
rfam:TPA: Bos taurus chromosome 3, whole genome shotgun sequence.